GAUGAACGCUGACAGAAUGCUUAGCACAUGCAAGUCAACUUGAACUUCGGUUUGGGUGGCGGACGGGUGAGUAACGCGUAAAGAACUUGCCUCACAGAUAGGGACAACAUUUGGAAACGAAUGCUAAUACCUGAUAUUAUGAUUAUAUGGCAUCGUAUAAUUAUGAAAGCUAUAUGCGCUGUGAGAGAGCUUUGCGUCCCAUUAGCUAGUUGGAGAGGUAACGGCUCACCAAGGCGAUGAUGGGUAGCCGGCCUGAGAGGGUGAUCGGCCACAAGGGGACUGAGACACGGCCCUUACUCCUACGGGAGGCAGCAGUGGGGAAUAUUGGACAAUGGACCAAGAGUCUGAUCCAGCAAUUCUGUGUGCACGAUGAAGUUUUUCGGAAUGUAAAGUGCUUUCAGUUGGGAAGAAAAAAAUGACGGUACCAACAGAAGAAGUGACGGCUAAAUACGUG
rnacentral:rRNA from 1 species